GUGGCCCUUAAUUUUUCAUUUGAGAAAUAUCAGCUAUAAUUCUAAGAGUUAUAAUUCUAAAAGUUUAAUUAAUUAUUUUUCUAAAUCAUUUCAGACACCUUGAGAAGGAAACCCUAUGCUGUCCACCACUGUUCCAGAAAGGUACUAAAAUUAGGAAAGAUUGAUAAGGACUGGGAUGGUUUCAUUAAAGAGGGAGCUAAACUCUCAUGAUCAUCCUGCAGUCUCUAUUAAAGGGGACAGAUGAACCCAUGGGCUUACUGUUUAAACUCAGUGAAUUAAGAGAACUGAUAGGAGAAUGCUUGUUCCACGCUCUAGAAAUCUGGAGGGCGUUGCAAUAGCACAACCCUCCCAGCCUCUCUUGUAACCUACCUCACACAUUUCCCCUACAAAUGUGGGCUGAGCUGUUUUAUUGGGGAUCAGGUGAAGAGCAAAGGUGCAUGCCUGUGCAUGCGUAAUUAGUUUCCUUCUCUCUUUCUCUCUCUUUCUCACAUACAGGAGAUUUUUAGACUUCGAGUCUCCUACAGAUGCACCUUUUGAAAAUUUAUUUUAGUUAACAUAUACGUGUGCAUAUUUAUGGGAUCCACCAUAAUAAUUUGAUAUAUGUAGACCAUGUAUAAUGAUUAAAUAAAAAUAAUCAACACCAUUUCCAUCUUCACAAACAUCUAUCAUUCCAUGUGUUGGGAAGCUUCAACCUCUUCACUUUCUGUUACUUUGAAGUAUGUAACAAAUGAUGAUAGAUGGUAGUUAACCCUAUUAUGCUGUAGGUUACUAAAAUUAGUUCAUUUUAAAUAGAGAUUGUCUUAGAAUAUUGCUAGGCCCUUCCCUCAGAGAUUUGACUCUGUAGGUCUAGGAUAGACCCCCAUAUUUUAAUGUUUAACAAAUUCUUAGGUGAUGCUGACGCUACUGGUCCAGAAACCACUUAGAGAACCAUUGCUGUGGUAUAACUCUACCCAAAGAGAGAAUUUCUUUGGCUCUCCACAUAAGCAGUUGCUGAGGGAGCUCCUGCCUUCAUGGUGAGAACAGCACUAGUACUGCCUCUAACAGCGUUAGUUAAGCCUGCUAAAUUCUGGACCAAAAUAUUAGCAAGUCUGCUUAUGUACAAAUAGAAAUACUUUCCGUAAUUUUGGCUUUCUACCUGCCUAUGCCUUGUGUUUAUUUUAAUAUGAUGAGACUUUGAGAGGGAAAACAGUGCUAUUUAUCACAUUUAUUGAAAACCUCUAAGUGAACAUAUAUGGUUUCAUGUUGUCAAUUAAUGUAUGUGCAUUAACCUGCCUGUAUUGUAGAGAAUACAGGUAGAAGGAUUCUAUGUUCUCUAUCAUUGUGAAGCUGAUAUGCUUUCUAGUGCAGCUCUUUGUGCACCUGAGGCUAAUGCUGAUGAAACAGUUUGUACUGACAUAUUAUUAUACCCUUUAAUCAAUAAGCUUUAUCCUUGUUAUCUAUGUUUGAAGUUAUUUCAAAUAAAUGAAAUUUUUGCUCCAUAGAGUAGAUUAAUAGUAGUGUUUUUUUAAAUGGUGGAUACUGCUGAAAUCAUUAGAAUGGUAUUUUCAGAAUGAUGUCCAGUCACUUGAAUAUAUGGUAUUCAAAGACAUGAAUUUUCGAAGUCCAUUCAUCAUCAACCUUAUUCCUUCAAGAUUUUCUGUUUCCUUCUGGGUGUGCUACAGCCUGGUGACCACUCCUAUCAAUCAGCCAACUGGUGGUAAUUGUUGUUAAUUUCCUAGUAUUUGACAAACAAUUGUUCUUGGACAACUGGAGGGAAGCAGCUUGAGAGAGUGUCAGAAAGGAAGUGCCAAAGAAGUAUUUGGUUUUCAGAAAUCAUUUGGAUGGGAUGGAUGCAACACAGGAUACAAUUAUCCUAUGCAGUAAUAAAAGCUUAGUUCUUUUCUUCAUAUUCCUCUACUCUUCAUCAGCAAAAUGAAUCCAGCUGUUAACUACAACAUUCCCUGAAGCUUUAUAUCAGAAGAGAUGAGAUGCAUGCUAUUGUUUCAUUGGUCCUGAAUGGAGAUCACUUCUUGAUGAAUGGAAUUUGUUUCUACUAAGUCUUACCAUUAGACCUCUGAAAACUAUGUAACAUCUGUUGAAGCUGAAUAUGCCCAAAGGGUGAGUAUUUAGGUUGUGCUUUAGCACUUUUGCCCAUUUGUUUUGUUGUAAUCACAUGCUAACCAUGGAAAGCCUCCAUAUUCAAAAGAUGUUCAAUUGUUUGUUGAUCCACAUUACAUACAUUUGUAAUGUCCUGAAAUUGUGCCUGGUUAUAAUCUCACUAAUUGACUUUAAGUUGACUUACACUCAUUUAAACUUUUUUAAUGCAUGCAAUGCGUGCAAUCACAUUAUUAAAUAUUUAUUCAAAGCAAUUACUCAUUAAAAGACCUUCUUAUUUUAGUUCCAUUGGUUUUAGAUACAGUGAUCUUUGUGUGUGAUGGUCAACACAGGAAAGGAAAUGACCACUGUUAAUGACAUUAUUCUGUUAUAUUCCAUCAAUUCAGUGAAAGGCAUAUUACUUACCUACAGUUAUAGUUGGAAAUAUACAUAUAUCUUCUGUGUUUACAGAAAACACAAAGUAUUAGUGUCCAUUUAAAGCAUAUUAUUAAUUCAAAAUGAAGAUUUGGUUUCUUAAUGUUUAUUUGCUCAUUUUAAUUUAUUUGAAAGGCUGAGUAGCACAGAGAGAAAGGGCUGAAGAAACAGAUCUUUCCUCUGCUGAUUCACUUUUCACAGGCCUGCAACAGCCAGAGCUGGGCCAGGUCAAAGUCAGGAGCCAAGAACUCAAUCUGGGUUUCCCAUAUGGGUGACAGUGACUUGGUACUUGAGCCAUCAUCUGCUGCCUCCCAGGGUAUGCACUAGCUGGAAACUGGAUUGAAAGCAGAGCAAGGACUCAAACAAAGCAUUACAAUAUAGUAUGAGGGUGUCCCAAAUGGUGACUUAAUUCACUGAGCCACAAUGCCCAUCCCCCAGAAUUAAGCAGAUAUGUGUCCUCUCAUGAAUUUUUGAUUUAGAUUUCUGGACAAUAUUAUGUUUCAGGCAAUUUUCAAUAUUAUUUUGAGGCAUUCAUCAUUGAAACAAGCUGGCUUAUAGACAAAAUGCAGCUGCAGAGACCUAGUUUGGGCCUAACUAUGCAGAGGCUUCAAUUACAAGGAUUUAAAAUAAGAUUGCUUUGAUGUAUCUGACAUUGGCAUGUUCCUUAAGAAUUAAGUGGCUCUGUACUUUUGUGCCUGUUCAGUUGUGCAUGUGUAACACUCCACUGAAGAUAUCUCUUCCCCUACCCCAAGCGCCAAUCAUAGCCUUAACAGAGGAUAUUUUAGCAGUUGCAUGGCUGUAGCUUAGCAUAUUAUUAAUUUAUUAUUAGUUAUGGUUAUCCUUGUGUCAGACUUGGUAAUUGAGAUCUUCCCUGGAGUCCAUCCCCAUUGUGUAGGUUAUUUCAAUGUUUGCCCCAUUCCUUUUCAUAAGGAGUGUAAUGCUGAGUAGUUCUAAUUUUGUUUUCUGGCCAUGUUGUUUCCCACCACUUAGUUCUUAGUGAUGUUGUAACAAAACACCACAGCUUGAAUAGCUUAAAUACAAAAAAAUUAUUUUAUCACAGUGCUAGCAACUACAAGUCUGAGAUCAAGGUGUGGGCAAGGUUAGGUUCUUCUGAUGCCCCCUAUCUUGGCUUACAGAUGGCCAUCAUUUCCCUGGGUCUUCAUCUACUCUUCCCUCUGUCCAUUGUGUUAUAGUCUUCUGAUAAUGACACUUGUAUGGAUUACAGCCCAUUCUAAUAACUUAAUUUUAACACAAUUACCUCUUCAGAGACAAAUAUAGUCACAUCCUGAAGUGCUAGGGAUUGAGAUUUCAGCCUGAAUUUUGGAAGAACAUAGUUCAGUACAUAGCUCUCUCCAUCUAUUCUUGUUGUAAUAGCAAUAACAAUUAUUAUUUUCAUAGCUAACAUUUAUUGAAUGAUUAUACCAUACUAUACACUGUUAUAGCUGCUUCACAUUUAUUGUGUCAUCAGGACUACAGCUCUGACCUUCUACCUUAAAUCCCUAACCUUAUACCAGGAGUCUUGUUAUGUGCUGCUAGAUUCCAUGCUGUCAACCGUGCAUACAUAGAAUUUGUCUUAAUCUGUCUGUUCCUGCCACUAUAACAAAACCUGAGACGGGGUAAUUUAUGAGGAGCAGAAAUUUAUUUCUCACAUAUGUGUAGAUUGGAAGUCCAACACCAAGGUGCUGGCAGGUUGAGUGACUGGUGAGGGCCUGGGCUCUGUUUCUAAGACAGUGUCUUGAUGCUGCAUCCUUAUAAGACACAGCUGGGUGUACACCAUGUCUGCACAUAUUGGGAAGUAGCAAAGCAAAGCAAACAAACAAAAGACUAGGUAGUUCUUUCCAUUCAUUUUUCUUUUCUUGAAGGGGAGAGGUCUCUAACCUCAUUCACAAGGGCAGAGCCCUCAGAAGUUUAUGGUUUCCCAAAGGCCACACCUCUCAUUAUUGCUGAUAGGGGAGUAAGUUACAAUCUGAGUUUUGUAGUGGAGUUUUGUAGUGGUUUUUGAGUCUAGGCUUCAAAGCUGGGGUGGCCGGAGUUCUAGUUUAGCUAUGCCCUUUAUUGGCAAUGUGAUCUUAGGUGAGCUACAAAUCUCCUUGUUCUUCAGUUUCCUCAUCUAGGUAAAUGGAGGCAAUAAUACCACCUCUGGAGUUUUUAGUGGGGAUUAAAUUAGUUACAAAAAGCAAAGCACUUAGAGUUUAACUGGGAGUGUAGUCAGUACAGUGAAACAUUGACAAACUGUAUCCUACAAUAAUGGAAACUUGAAUAGAAUGUGGUUGGCAAUUAGCUACCAUCCUGUGCAGCAGCCUCACCCUAGUCAUUUCAUUAAUGUCACACAUUGUAGCUUGACAUUCUUAAGGUUAUUUAUUUUUUCCAUCUCACUUAUAGCAUUAUGGUAGUGUUUCACUGCACUUGCUGUAUUUUAACACUUGCUACUCUUUCAUUUUUCCUGCCACCAGACUUCCUAAUUUUGUUUCUAUACUUGCCUUUGAGGACAUCUGUUCUGUUUUUGUAGGCGUCACUUACCUGAAUUGCCACCUAACUGUUACUAUUUAAAUAUUAUGCCAGCUUGACUGUGCUUCCAACUGCUGCUUGUAAUAAGGUUGCCCUGCUCCAUUGAAUAUGUUUAAUUCCUUUCCUGUUUUUUUCAUCCAACUGGCUACAUCACAUACCUGGAAUAAAGAAUUAGUUCUUAAGAUUCACCACCUGCUGCAAAGAAUUUUAGAUCACCCAAUUCAUUGCACUGGUAGAAUUAGUUUACCACAGUUAUUCUGCAAUAUUUAUUUUCAAAUUCUAUACUUCUUUUCACUGUGUGAUCCAAUAGUUGAUUGUCAGAAAACCUUUUGCUCACCAUAUCCAAGAAGUUAUAGGCAUGGUAUUGGUUUAUAGGGGAGAUGUUAUAGUACAUGAGUUGAGUCUAAUGCUUCUGAAUUCAUAUUAUUUUUAGUCAGAAUAUCAUCUCCACCACUUACAAGUUGCAAAAUUUUGGCCUCAGUUUUCUCAUCUUAAAAUUGAUAUAUUUAGACCUGCCAUGAACACUCAUAGGUAUAAUUUACGGAAAAUUUUAAUGUGCCAAGAGCUCUAUAAACAUUAUAUUAUUUGAUGCCUACAGUAAUGCUCUAUAUUAGGUAUUAUGACUAUUCCCAUUUUAUAGAGCUAUAAAUGUUGUAGAUAAUUAAACUAGAGCAGUUGCUGCCAUUUUUUGUAUACUUUUUGCUAUUUUCCUAUAAAAUAUUUUCUAUUAUUUAGAUGUUCAUAUUUUACUUAUGAGUUUCCUGGAAAGGGGGUGGGUGUUGUAGUUUGAGUUAUUCUUAAACUUAGCUCUUACUACUGGUAAUUAAAUAAUUACAGGUUUUAAUAGGUAAACCAAUAAAUUUUCUGAAAAAAAAAAGGUACACAAUGUGUAUAUGUGUAUCUGUCCUGUCAAUUAGAAAUAACUAUACUUUGAGUUUUCUGAAAGAAAACUCAGAUUUGGGAACGUGUAAGAGUCAUAUAAAUGGGAAGGAUGAUAGAGUGAGAUGCUACCAAAGAUCAUUGUUUCCAUAGGUCAUCUUGGACUCCCUCUUUUAUCUGAGAAAAGAAGCUGCAUACUUUAAAAAACAAUGAUCCUGGGACCAGCUUCAUGGCUCACUUGGUUAAUCCUCCAUCUGCAGCGCCAGCAUCCCAUAUGGGCGCUGGUUCUAGUCCCGGUUGCUCCUCUUCCAGUCCAGCUUUCUGCUGUGGCCCGGGAAGGCAGUGGAGGAUGGCCCAAGUGCUUGGGCCCUGCACCCGCAUGGGAGACCGGGAAGAAGCUCCUGGCUGCUGGCUUCGGAUCAGCGUAGCUCCGGCAGUAGUGACCAUUUGGGGGGUGAACCAAUGGAAGGAAGACCUUUCUCUCUGUCUCUCUCUCUCUCUCACUGUCUAACUCUGUCAAAU